UUGGGAAUAUUCAAAAUCUGCUCUUCUAGCUAUUUGAAAAUAUGCAACAAAUUGUUGUUAAUUAUAUUAAUCGCAAAGUGCUAUAGAACACUAGAACUUAUUCUUCCUAUUUAGCUGUAAUUUUGUAUAUGUUAACCAAAUUCUGGCUAUUCCCUUCUCGUCCUAUCCUUCCCAUCUUCUAGUAACCAUUAUUCUACUCUCUGCUUCUAUGACAUCAACUUUUUUAGCUUCCUUACAUAAGUGAGAACAUGAGAUAUAUUUUUCUUCUGUUCCUGGCUCAUUUGACUUAACAUAAUGUCCUUCAAGCUCAUCUAUGAAGCUACGAAUGACAAGAUUUCUUUCUUUUUUAUAGCUGAAAAGUGUGCCAUUUUGUAUGUAUACCACAUUUUCUUUAUUCAUUCUUCUGUUAAUGGACAAUUAGAUUGAGUCCAUAUUUUGGCUUCUGCAGCCUCUAACUCCUGGGCUCAAGUAAUUCUCCCACUUCAGCCUCCUGAGUAGCUAGGACUACAGGUGCAUGCUACUACACACAGCUAAUUUUUGUUUUUGUUUUUGUUUUUGCAGGGAUGGCUUCUCAGUGUGUUGCCCAGGCUGGUCUUGAACUCCUGGCCUCAAGCAAUGCUCCCACCUUAGCCUCCAAAAAUGUUGAGAUGACAGGUGUGAGCCACCACACUCAAUUGCUUAAUGUAUUUUAAUCAUAAAAUGAAAUCAGUAAUUUUCACAUCUUUGUUAUUUAAUAUGUGAAAGAAAGGGAUUUCUGCAGAUAAGAGUAAUUUUUCAAAACAAUAAUAAAUAUGAAUUAAAUUAUAUCAAUCAUACAGCUGAAAAUAAGUAAAAUUAAAUGUCAGAUUAUCUAAAAUCAUCAAUAUAUUCAGUGAAUAUCAAUGAUUAUAAGUGUUUGUUGAUUUUAAAAUCUGAGUGUUAUGUGUAAAAUUUAAGAAAAUACAUAAUAGUGCCUUAAGUAUUAUAAAUUCUAAUAGCAUAUUUUGGGAAAUAAAGUUAAAACUAUUAAUUGCUGAGUUUACAGUAUAUAACCUCAGUGGAUGAUAAUGAGAGAUUAGAUUAUUGUGGAAUAUGAGAAUAUGUAUAAAAGUCAGAAAGAAAUAUUUUUAGCUGAUAUUCUUAAUAGUUAAGGGGUAGGUUUAUUAUUUUCCAUAAGUGGAUUAGUGGAGAUUUUUGCAAAAAUAUAAAAGUAAAGAUAUCACUACUACUGCAAUUAUUUUGCAUUUCUAUAAUGUCUUUUUAUUGAAACACUUAUAAAUCCUAUAAAACAAGUACUGGUACAUGUUCUCUAUAAAAUAAAUGAAUAUGGUUCGUAAGACUGUCAAAUUCCUUUAUAACCUCACGAUACCUUAUAGAGUGGCUGUUACUCUUUCAAUAGGAAUAGCUAUGGUUCAUAGGAUUUAUGGGUAAUCUAUACUGCUGUGGUAUCUUGGGAGUGAUAGCUCCUUUAGAUAUUUUAUCUUCUGUUAUAACCCUUACAAAUAACACAGUUUAUUUUCAUGAGGCUUGAAAUAGCCAUAGCUAAUUUCAAAAGAAUUUACUUCCUGUGGUUGUAAUACUUUAUUAUAGAAAGUACUGUACAAAGAAGUUACAGUUUGAGUGACAGUUAAUUCUCACAUAUGUAUAAAAUAUAUUCCAUGUUAAUUAACUUACUAUUUUUUUUCCCUUGGCAUAGUGUUAUGUACCAUGAGGGUAGACUUAUAACCAUUAAACAUUUUAACUUUCUUCCAUAGUAUUGUGUGUGUAUGUGAAUUUGUAUGCAAUUAAAAUAAAUCAAUACAGUGAUGCAGG
rnacentral:lncRNA from 10 species